GCUGGGGGCUGUGGCCGUGCGGGACGGGCGGCGGAGCGGCACCAGGUGGCAGCACCGCACCGGGGAUGCGGAGCCGCCCCGGGAUGCCCCGCACGGCCCCGGCACCGCCCCGCGGGUACGGAGCCGGCACCGCUGGAAGCGUCAAACCGGGCACGGGCCCCGACGUCAGGUGUCAGCUCGGCUGAAAAGUUUCUUCUCGAGCAAAUGCCGUUGCUGAGGGUGCUUGGAGUGGUUCUUGGUCGUGUGGGAAGUCCGUGGUGCGGGAAGGGGAGGCGAAGAAAACGUAUCGAUGCCUGAGCAGCUUAGAAAUGUGCAAAAACAACGUCGGUGGUUCAGAUCUGGUGAGAAAGAAAAGGGAACACAUCAGUGGAGAAAGACAUACACGAUCAUGCACACUCAAGGCUGGAGAAAUUCCUCUGUGUCAGACUGGUGAAGUACACCCUCAGAGCCUGAAGGAAUGAACUUCCAGGAAGAAUA